rnacentral:rRNA from 1 species
GUGUUACAAUGGCCGGUACAGAGGGCAGCCACGGGGUGACCCGGAGCGAAUCUCUAAAGCCGGUCGUAGUUCGGACUGGAGUCUGCAACCCGACUCCACGAAGUUGGAUUCGCUAGUAAUCGCGCAUCAGCCAUGGCGCGGUGAAUACGUUCCCGGGCCUUGUACACACCGCCCGUCAAGCCAUGGAAGCCGGGAGUACCUGAAGAUCGUGACCGCGAGGAACGGGCUAGGGUAAUACCGGUAACUGGGGCUAAGUCGUAACAAGGUAUC